rnacentral:rRNA from 1 species
AAGGCGCUUGCUUCGUUAAUGAUGCUCAUCUCUUGGGAGAUUUGGUUAGAGCGCAAUGCUAGAAUCUUCCGCAACACGGCCGUCCCUUCGGUUAUCCUUAUUAGCAAGAUUAAAUAGGAGUUGUCCCUCCGGGCUUUAGCGGGUGCCAAGCAUUUGAGUAUUGUAAUGUCGCGAGAAUAG